rnacentral:rRNA from 1 species
GUGGGGAUUAGUGGCGAACGGGUGAGUAACACGUGGGCAAUCUGCCCUGCACUCUGGGACAAGCCCUGGAAACGGGGUCUAAUACCGGAUACGACGCGCUCAGGCAUCUGAUGCGCGUGGAAAGCUCCGGCGGUGCAGGAUGAGCCCGCGGCCUAUCAGCUUGUUGGUGAGGUAACGGCUCACCAAGGCGACGACGGGUAGCCGGCCUGAGAGGGCGACCGGCCACACUGGGACUGAGACACGGCCCAGACUCCUACGGGAGGCAGCAGUGGGGAAUAUUGCACAAUGGGCGAAAGCCUGAUGCAGCGACGCCGCGUGAGGGAUGACGGCCUUCGGGUUGUAAACCUCUUUCAGCAGGGAAGAAGCGAAAGUGACGGUACCUGCAGAAGAAGCGCCGGCUAACUACGUGCCAGCAGCCGCGGUAAUACGUAGGGCGCGAGCGUUGUCCGGAAUUAUUGGGCGUAAAGAGCUCGUAGGCGGCUUGUCGCGUCGGUUGUGAAAGCCCGGGGCUUAACCCCGGGUCUGCAGUCGAUACGGGCAGGCUAGAGUUCGGUAGGGGAGAUCGGAAUUCCUGGUGUAGCGGUGAAAUGCGCAGAUAUCAGGAGGAACACCGGUGGCGAAGGCGGAUCUCUGGGCCGAUACUGACGCUAAGGAGCGAAAGCGUGGGGAGCGAACAGGAUUAGAUACCCUGGUAGUCCACGCCGUAAACGGUGGGCACUAGGUGU